rnacentral:rRNA from 1 species
GGGAAUCUUCCACAAUGGGCGAAAGUCUGACCGAGCAACGCCGCGUGAAUGAAGAAGGCCUUCGGGUUGUAAAAUUCUGUUAUAAGGGAAGAAAGGUGAUAGGAGGAAAUGACUAUCAAUUGACGGUACCUUAUGAGAAAGCCACGGCUAACUACGUGCCAGCAGCCGCGGUAAUACGUAGGUGGCAAGCGUUAUCCGGAUUUAUUGGGCGUAAAGGGAACGCAGGCGGUCUUUUAAGUCUGAUGUGAAAGCCUUCGGCUUAACCGGAGUAGUGCAUUGGAAACUGGGAGACUUGAGUGCAGAAGAGGAGAGUGGAACUCCAUGUGUAGCGGUGAAAUGCGUAGAUAUAUGGAAGAACACCAGUGGCGAAGGCGGCUUCCUGGUCUGCAACUGACACUGAGGCGCGAAAGCGUGGGGAGCA